GAUGAACGCUGGCGGCGUGCCUAAUACAUGCAAGUCGAGCGGACAGACGAGGAGCUUGCUCCUCUGACGUUAGCGGCGGACGGGUGAGUAACACGUGGAUAACCUACCUAUAAGACUGGGAUAACUUCGGGAAACCGGAGCUAAUACCGGAUAAUAUAUUGAACCGCAUGGUUCACUAGUGAAAGACGGUUUUGCUGUCACUUAUAGAUGGAUCCGCGCCGCAUUAUCUAGUUGGUAAGGUAACGGCUUACCAAGGCAACGAUGGGUAGCCACGCUGAGAGGGUGAUAGGCCACCCUGGAACUGAGAGAGGGACGAGCCUCCUACGGACGGCAGGAGUAGGUAAUGUUCAGCAAUGGGCGAAAGCUUGACGGAGCAACGCAGCGUGAGUGAUGAAGGUCUGCGGUUCGUAAAACUCUGUUACUAGGGAAGAACAAAUGUGUAAGUAACUAUGCACGUCUUGAGGGAACCUAAGAAGAAAGCCCCGGUUAACUACGU
rnacentral:rRNA from 1 species